rnacentral:rRNA from 1 species
UACACACCGCCCGUCACACCCUGGGAGUUUGUUGCACCAGAAGCAGGUAGCUUAACCUUCGGGAGGGCGCUUGCCACGGUGUGGCCGAUGACUGGGGUG